CGUGAGAUGUUGGGUUAAGUCCCGUAACGAGCGCAACCCUUGUCCUUAGUUACCAGCACGUUAUGUGGGCACUCUAAGGAGACUGCCGGUGACAAACCGGAGGAAGGUGGGGAUGACGUCAAGUCAUCAUGGCCCUUACGGCCUGGGCUACACACGUGCUACAAUGGUCGGUACAAAGGGUUGCCAAGCCGCGAGGUGGAGCUAAUCCCAUAAAACCGAUCGUAGUCCGGAUCGCAGUCUGCAACUCGACUGCGUGAAGUCGGAAUCGCUAGUAAUCGUGAAUCAGAAUGUCACGGUGAAUACGUUCCCGGGCCUU
rnacentral:rRNA from 1 species